rnacentral:rRNA from 1 species
GGACGAACGCUGGCGGCGUGCUUAACCCAUGCAAGUCGAACGGAAAGGCCCUGCUUGCAGGGUACUCGAGUGGCGAACGGGUGAGUAACACGUGGGUGAUCUGCCCUGCACUUCGGGAUAAGCCUGGGAAACUGGGUCUAAUACCGGAUAGGAGCCAUUUUUAGUGUGAUGGUUGGAAAGUUUUUUCGGUGUAGGAUGAGCUCGCGGCCUAUCAGCUUGUUGGUGGGGUAAUGGCCUACCAAGGCGGCGACGGGUAGCCGGCCUGAGAGGGUGGACGGCCACAUUGGGACUGAGAUACGGCCCAGACUCCUACGGGAGGCAGCAGUGGGGAAUAUUGCACAAUGGGCGCAAGCCUGAUGCAGCGACGCCGCGUGGGGGAUGACGGCCUUCGGGUUGUAAACUCCUUUCGCUAGGGACGAAGCUUUUUGUGACGGUACCUAGAGAAGAAGCACCGGCUAACUACGUG